rnacentral:misc_RNA from 1 species
AAGAGUUAUGUAUCUUCGGGUACUAUCUCCAACCAAUUGUGAACCAAAUUUGUUGCCUCGACAUCCGAUAGGUACCCAAUAGGUGUACCUAUCCUUCGGUUGCUUGCACCUGAAGAGUGAUGUCUGAGGAUUUUAAACUUCUUUUAAUUAAGUUUUCUGAGUUAAACAAAAUAAAAACA